rnacentral:misc_RNA from 1 species
GUUUUUUUUUUCCCUGGAUCGAUCUGAAUAUUAAGUAUAUAAUAUUAAUGGCGUCACUUGUGCUUCUUUUUCUUGUAACUAUUGUGCGUUUGUGAAUUCCAAAAAUGGGAAAUGCGCAUUGUGACGUCUACACUAUUUUUAUUUUUACUUGCUUGAGGCUUCUUAUGGGCUCAUUGAGUUAACUUUUUGUGUUCCAUGCUACUUCAAACCUUGGGCGCCAUCUAAUGUGAAAUUUAACUUUGAGGAUUUAAGUGAUGAAUUGCUGUUGGAUGGUCUUGUCUAGCUUUGAUUACAUUGAGGCAUUUUCUUAAUUCGUUGGUAUUGAUUGAGGAAGACUAAUGUUCUAAUCAACUAUUGCACCACUAGUUUUUAAUUUUUUUUUCUGGUAAUCAGAAUUUGCAUAUUUGUUUGGUUUCAAUUCCAAAAAAAUUGGAUCAUUGGCUCAGUCUUUUUCUGAAGUUAAUUUUUUUUUUGGUGGUAGCGCAUACAUUGAAGAUGAAGUUCUGAUAAUAAUGCUUAGACACAUGCUCUUAUAUGGUUUUUUUGGUUUUUGAAUAAAAUUUCUUUAAACCGUUGGAUAUCCAUUGCUGACUGCAGACUUUCAUGCUGUAGAUAUUCUAUCAUUUCUAUAAAGUAUUUUGGAUGAAAUGGUGGACACAAUUAAACUACUUAUAACCCUUUUGGGAUGGGUUUACGAUUCUAAGUUUUGAAGUUUUUAAAUGAUAUUUGGAUGAUAUCUCGCAGAAAUAUUGGAGUCGAACAAAGAUGUGAUUUUCAUUGUUUAAAAUGUGAGGAUGUGAUCCACCUAUGCUUUGCCUACUCUAGAAAGCCUUCUCUCUAAACCUUGUCAUUCUAUGUUGUGCUUGCAGUUAAUUUUCUCAUAUCAUAUUUUAUUAUACUACUUCUAGUAAUCUGUAGUGCAUUUUUUUUUUUCAGAUAAAUCAUUUUGUUGCUACUCAUUUCAUGAUUGCUCAUUUGAUAUGGUGUUCAGUUUUACGUAUUAGUUGAUGCAAUUCUGAAAUGUAGAAUGUUAUGCCCUUGGAUUGUUUAGGAAUCUGUGGGCCUGCUCUGCAUAUUUUGUCAUUUUCAUAUUUUGUGUUCAUUUGAGGAUUUCUUGUGCUUCUUUUGCCUUUUGAGUACAUAUAUAUGCCUAAACAAUGAAAUAAAAACUCUGUGAAAUCUUUACAAAGCCUGACCACAUGGUUUUUAACUUUUACUUCUUUUCAGAUUCCACACCUAAGACCAGCAGA